AUGGCUCAGGAUGAACGCUAGCUACAGGCUUAACACAUGCAAGUCGAGGGGCAGCAUUGGAGUAGCAAUACUUCAGAUGGCGACCGGCGCACGGGUGAGUAACACGUAUCCAACCUGCCGCUUACUCGGGGAUAGCCUUUCGAAAGAAAGAUUAAUACCCGAUGGUAUAAAGAGUUCGCAUGUUCUCUUUAUUAAAGAAUUUCGGUAAGCGAUGGGGAUGCGUUCCAUUAGAUAGUUGGCGGGGUAACGGCCCACCAAGUCUACGAUGGAUAGGGGUUCUGAGAGGAAGGUCCCCCACAUUGGAACUGAGACACGGUCCAAACUCCUACGGGAGGCAGCAGUGAGGAAUAUUGGUCAAUGGACGAGAGUCUGAACCAGCCAAGUAGCGUGAAGGAUGACUGCCCUAUGGGUUGUAAACUUCUUUUAUAAGGGAAUAAAGUGAGGGACGUGUCCCUUUUUGUAUGUACCUUAUGAAUAAGGAUCGGCUAACUCCGUGCCAGCAGCUGC
rnacentral:rRNA from 1 species